rnacentral:rRNA from 1 species
GACGUAGGGCGCGAGCGUUGUCCGGAUUUAUUGGGCGUAAAGCGCGUGUAGGCGGCCAGGUAGGUCUGCUGUGAAAACUCGAGGCUCAACCUCGAGAUGUCGGCGGAAACCAUCUGGCUAGAGUCCGGAAGAGGAGAGUGGAAUUCCCGGUGUAGUGGUGAAAUGCGUAGAUAUCGGGAGGAACACCAGUGGCGAAGGCGGUCGACUGGCUGAGUUCUGACACUGAGGCGCGACGGCGUGGGGAGCAAACCGG